UACGUAGGAUGCAAGCGUUGUUCGGAAUUACUGGGCGUAAAGAGUACGUAGGCGGUUUGAUAAGUCUGCUAUUAAAGACUGGAGCUUAACUCCAGGACUGUAGUGGAAACUGUCAGACUAGAGGACAAUAGAGGAAGUCGGAAUUCUCAGUGUAGCGGUGAAAUGCGUAGAUAUUGGGAAGAACACCAGUGGCGAAGGCGGCCGACUGGUCCGGUUCUGACGCUGAGGCGCGAAAGCGUGGGGAGCAAACAGG
rnacentral:rRNA from 1 species